CUCCGGUGGAUCCUGCCGGACCUGACUGCUAUCGGAUUGGUACUAAGCCAUGCGAGUCAUUGUAGCAAUACAAGGCGGACGGCUCAGUAACACGUAGUCAACCUAACUCGUGGACGUGGAUAACCUCGGGAAACUGAGAAUAAACCACGAUAGAUCAUAGUGCCUGGAAUGGCUUAUGGUCCAAACAGUUUACUGCCAUGGGAUGGGACUGCGGCCUAUCAGCUUGUUGGUGAGGUAAUGGCCCACCAAGGCGAUUACAGGUACGGGCUCUGAGAGGAGAAGCCCGGAGAUGGGUACUGAGACACGGACCCAGGCCCUAUGGGGCGCAGCAGGCGAGAAACCUUAGCAAUGUGCGAAAGCACGACUGGGUCAGUCCGAGUGAUUCCUGAUAAAGGAGUCUUUUGCUUGUCCUAAAAGCACAGGUGAAUAAGGGGUGGGCAAGUCUGGUGUCAGCCGCCGCGGUAAUACCAGCACCUCGAGUGGUCAGGACGUUUAUUGGGCCUAAAGCAUCCGUAGCCGGCUCUGCAAGUCUUCGGUUAAAUCCACCUGCUCAACAGAUGGGCUGCUGGAGAUACUACAGAGCUAGGGAGUGGGAGAGGCAGACGGUAUUCAGUGGGUAGGGGUAAAAUCCUCUGAUCCAUUGAGGACCACCAGUGGCGAAGGCGGUCUGCCAGAACACGUUCGACGGUGAGGGAUGAAAGCUGGGGGAGCAAACCGGAUUAGAUACCCGGGUAGUCCCAGCUGUAAACGAUGCAAACUCGGUGAUGCAUUGGCUUAUGGCCAAUGCAGUGCCGCAGGGAAGCCGUUAAGUUUGCCGCCUGGGAAGUACGGACGCAAGUCUGAAACUUAAAGGAAUUGGCGGGGGAGCA
rnacentral:rRNA from 1 species